rnacentral:misc_RNA from 1 species
GUGCAAGCAAUAUAUACUACAUUAAUGACAAAUUAGACAAAAGAACAUGGACAUAUAUCUUUGGAGCUUGCUGUGCCACCACUGUGUUCAUACCUUCAUUUCACAAUUACAGAAUUUGGUCAUUAAUGUAGUAUAUAUUGCUUGCUCUUGGGCUUGGAAUGACCACCUACACUGCCUGGUAUUUGACCAUCGCAGCCCUUGUUCACGGCCAGGCUGAUGGUGUAAUCCACUCUGGCCCAACAAGAUUGGUUCUUUAUUUCACAGGCGCCACCAAUAUUCUCUACACUUUUGGUGGUCAUGCUGUUACUGUGGAAAUUAUGCAUGCAAUGUGGAAGCCUCAGAAAUUCAAGUACAUAUAUUUCCUAGCCGCCCUAUAUGUGUUCACCUUAACAAUUCCAUCAGCUGUUGCUGUCUACUGGGCAUUUGGCGAUCAACUCCUCGACCACUCGAAUGCCUUCUCCCUUCUUCCCCGUUCCAGGUGGCGAGAUGCUGCAGUUAUCCUCAUGCUCAUCCAUCAGUUCAUAACAUUCGGAUUUGCAUGCACACCACUGUAUUUUGUGUGGGAGAAAGUGGUAGGGAUGCAUGAUACCAAGAGCAUAUUUUUAAGGGCAUUAACCAGGUUGCCUGUAGUUAUACCUAUAUGGUUCUUGG